UGCAGUCGAACGGUGAUGGCCAGCUUGCUGGUCUGAUCAGUGGCGAACGGGUGAGUAACACGUGAGUAACCUGCCCCUGACUCUGGGAUAACUACCGGAAACGGUGGCUAAUACCGGAUAUGAGGUGCCUGGGCAUCUGGGCGCCUGGAAAGUUUUUCGGUCAGGGAUGGGCUCGCGGCCUAUCAGCUUGUUGGUGGGGUGAUGGCCUACCAAGGCGACGACGGGUAGCCGGCCUGAGAGGGCGACCGGCCACACUGGGACUGAGACACGGCCCAGACUCCUACGGGAGGCAGCAGUGGGGAAUAUUGCACAAUGGGCGCAAGCCUGAUGCAGCGACGCCGCGUGCGGGAUGACGGCCUUCGGGUUGUAAACCGCUUUCAGCAGGGAAGAAGCGCAAGUGACGGUACCUGCAGAAGAAGCGCCGGCUAACUACGUGCCAGCAGCCGCGGUAAUACGUAGGGCGCAAGCGUUGUCCGGAAUUAUUGGGCGUAAAGAGCUCGUAGGCGGUUUGUCGCGUCUGCUGUGAAAUCCUCAGGCUCAACCUGGGGCUUGCAGUGGGUACGGGCAGACU
rnacentral:rRNA from 1 species